GUCCUCGUAGUAUAACAAAUUACACCGGUCUUGUAAACCAGAAAUGAAGCGCAUGUUUCCAAGGACA
rnacentral:tRNA from 1 species